rnacentral:rRNA from 1 species
UACGUAGGGUGCAAGCGUUGUCCGGAAUUAUUGGGCGUAAAGAGCUCGUAGGCGGUCUGUUGCGUCGACGGUGAAAACCCUCAGCUCAACUGGGGGCCUGCAGUCGAUACGGGCAGGCUAGAGUUCGGUAGGGGAGACUGGAAUUCCUGGUGUAGCGGUGAAAUGCGCAGAUAUCAGGAGGAACACCGGUGGCGAAGGCGGGUCUCUGGGCCGAUACUGACGCUGAGGAGCGAAAGCGUGGGGAGCGAACAGG